UACGAAGGGGGCUAGCGUUGCUCGGAAUCACUGGGCGUAAAGGGUGCGUAGGCGGGUCUUUUAAGUCAGGGGUGAAAUCCUGGAGCUCAACUCCAGAACUGCCUUUGAUACUGAGGAUCUUGAGUUCGGGAGAGGUGAGUGGAACUGCGAGUGUAGAGGUGAAAUUUCGUAGAUAUUCGCAAGAACACCAGUGGCGAAGGCGGCUCACUGGCCCGAUACUGACGCUGAGGCACGAAA
rnacentral:rRNA from 1 species